GAUCCUGGCUCAGGACGAACGCUGGCGGCGCGCCUAACACAUGCAAGUCGAACGAGAGAUGAAGAGCUUGCUCUUCAAAUCGAGUGGCGAACGGGUGAGUAACGCGUGAGGAACCUGCCUCAAAGAAGGGGACAACAGUUGGAAACGACUGCUAAUACCGCAUAAGCCCACGGCUCGGCAUCGAGCAGAGGGAAAAGGAGCAAUCCGCUUUGAGAUGGCCUCGCGUCCGAUUAG
rnacentral:rRNA from 1 species